AGUACUGAUGUGUGAUGUUGUUGAAUUUAUGGACAAAGCUUAGACAGGUGGGAAAGUAAGCCCUCUUUUUCAACCCAGAACUCUUUGUCAGUGUGGGUUUUGAUAUAUACAUAGAGGAAUAUG